UUUAUGUUGCUUCAAGAAUUCCGUUAUACAGGACAUACACCGUUGGAAAAUCUUCGACGGACAAUAAUAUGAUACAGCUUCGUUUGGCUACGGUUACUCUGACUAAUUAUAAGAAUGUUCAAUACUAUGGUAUUAUCAAAAUUGGAACUCCACCGCAGAUGUUUAGAAUACUUUUCGACACUGGUUCCUCAGAUCUCUAGGUGCCUAUAUCCACCAACUGCAUCCUGCUUAGCCAACCUGCUUGCUACUUCCUGUACCAUGGACUAGAAUCUAGCACGUCUAUAUACAGAACCCUCACGAAUUUUUGAGAGAAAAUCGUUUCCUGGAAGGGGAAGACCCAAGAUGUUACAGCUGGCGCGUCAUACCAGCGAGGAGGCUCGUGCCCACUUCGAGCCAAUCUCCGGGCCUGGCCAUCCCAAG